CAGCACCUCAAGUGGUCAGGAUGAUUAUUGGGCCCAAAGCAUCCGUAGCCGGCGCUGUAAGUUUUCGGUUAAAUCUGUACGCUCAACGUACAGGCUGCCGGGAAUACUGCAGCGCUAGGGAGUGGGAGAGGUAGACGGUACUCGGUAGGAAGGGGUAAAAUCCUUUGAUCUAUUGAUGACCACCUGUGGCGAAGGCGGUCUACCAGAACACGUCCGACGGUGAGGGAUGAAAGCUUGGGUAGCGAACCGGAUUAGAUACCCGAGUAGUCC
rnacentral:rRNA from 1 species